UACGGGGGGGGCAAGCGUUGUUCGGAAUUACUGGGCGUAAAGGGUUCGUAGGUGGCCAACUAAGCCAGACGUGAAAUCCCUCGGCUUAACCGGGGAACUGCGUCUGAUACUGGAUGGCUUGAAUCCGGGAGAGGGAUGCGGAAUUCCAGGUGUAGCGGUGAAAUGCGUAGAUAUCUGGAGGAACACCGGUGGCGAAGGCGGCAUCCUGGACCGGCAUUGACGCUGAGGAGCGAAAGCCAGGGGAGCAAACGGG
rnacentral:rRNA from 1 species